GAUGAACGCUGGCGGCGUGCCUAAUACAUGCAAGUCGAGCGAACAGACGAGGAGCUUGCUCCUCUGACGUUAGCGGCGGACGGGUGAGCAACACGUGGAUAACCUACCUAUAAGACUGGGAUAACUUCGGGAAACCGGAGCUAAUACCGGAUAAUAUAUUGAACCGCAUGGUUCAAUAGUGAAAGACGGUUUUGCUGUCACUUAUAGAUGGAUACGCGCCGCAUUAGCUAGUUGGUAAGGUAACGGCUUACCAAGGCGACGAUGCGUAGCCGACCGGAGAGGGUGAUCGGCCACACUGGAACUGAGACACGGUCCAGACUCCUACGGGAGGCAGCAGUAGGGAAUCUUCCGCAAUGGGCGAAAGCCUGACGGAGCAACGCCGCGUGAGUGAUGAAGGUCUUCGGAUCGUAAAACUCUGUUAUUAGGGAAGAACAAAUGUGUAAGUAACUAUGCACGUCUUGACGGUACCUAAUCAGAAAGCCACGGCUAACUACGUG
rnacentral:rRNA from 1 species